CUCUCUCUGUCCUUCCCUUCCUUGUGCUCUGUCUGUCUCUCCUUCAAAAAUAAAUAAACACUUAAAAAAUAAUAAAAUAAAAUAGGAAAUAAAUACUUUAAUACAACUAAUACUGUAAUAAUAACAAAGAUUUUUAGAAGCAGCAAGUAAGGGGUACUGCUGGCUUUCUUCCUCAGAAGCAAACGAGAACAUUUUAAAAGAGGUGGAUUCUUUUGGUUCUCCCUUACUGUUAACUUGGACAUAACCUGCGAGGACAUCUUUACCCACCCCUUCCAAGACUGCUAGAGCACAUAGGGCGGUACCCACAGCAACAUUUAUAGAUUGUUGAGGAUUUUCAACAACCACUAGCAUCAGACAUUCUUCCACCCACAUUAAGAAUUCUAGAACCAAGGCUAUACCACAGCCACAGUUCUUGGUGGGCAUGGUCACCUCAUGACACACAGUCACCACUCCUCUCCAGAGUCCAGCCUGACACAAGCCCACCCUGAGAGCCUCUGUUCUGACUCUGCUAGGUCUCACGUAGGCUCUGCCUGUUACCUUGGACCUGGGCUCCAGGUCCUUUGUGAGGAACUGAAUGCUAAUGAAAACUGCUGAGCAAGGAAGCAGAUGUUCCCCUGAGACUGCAGAUGAGAACUCCUUGAAAAGAUGAACUCCUGCCACAGAAAAACUGACAAUAAAGGGACAUUGUCUUCAGUUGCUGUUUGUGGUCGUCUGUUAUGCAGCAAAGGGUAACCAAUACAGGUUACGAGGAAGACUUCGGAACAAUCUAAUAGCUGCCCAAGAUGCUCCCAAGUCAUCGAGACAGUCCCCAACUGAAACAGAGAGCCGUCUUUGUUUCAAAGCAUCGGGAGACACGGAGCUCACUACAUCCCUCACAGUUCAACUUAGUUACACCACCUACUUGCACUAAGAAACACGUGACAUGUGACUGCCAAAGAGAGUAGAGGACCCAAGUGAGGUCUGAGACUUUAACCGGGUCACGAUACAAAUGAUGCCUUUCUUGCUGGAGUCACAGGCAAAAAAGUUUGAAGAAGACUAUUUAAAGAGAACGGGUUUCCCAUGAAACACUGCUCUCUCAUAACAACAACGCUGGGCAGGAAACGAAGCAGGAUUAGAACUGUAAGUGUUCCAAGUGUUAAGGUUAAAAAGUUAAAGUGCUCAGGCUCCCAUCUGAAGCAGUCAGCUAUGACUCAGCUUCAACCGAAGGAUGCCAGAUAGGAAAACGGGCCCACUGUUACCAGAUUUACCAAUUUCUGAAAAGAAUUC